GUGUCAUGUGAACGUCGAUUACAUGACACUUCACCAUGUUAUGGGACUAAGUGAAGUCAUAGUGGAGUAACAAGUAGAUGAUGGGUUGCUAGAGUGACAGAAGCUUAAACCCCAUUUAAUGUGUUGCUUCAUAAGGGGUUGAUUUGGAUGCACGUGUUUCAUGCUAUGGUUAGAUUUAUCUUAAUUCUUCUUUCGUUGUUGCGGAUGCUUGCGAGAGGGCGUAAACAUAAGUAGGUUGUUAGUUCACGUAAGAACAACAUCUUAGCACCGGUCCAUCCACAUAUCAUAUUAUCAAAGUAGCGAACGCAAAUCAACUCAACAUGAUGAACAUGACUAGACAGAAAUUCUCAUGUGUCCUCGGGAGUGCUUGCUUAAUAUAAGAGUACUUUCCGGACCGUCCUUUUCUAUAAAAGGAUUGGGCUACCUUGCUGCACCUUUAUUACUAUUUCCACUUGUUACAUGUUACGAAUUAUUUUGCUAUAAAACUAUCUACUACUGUUACCUACAACACUUGCAC
rnacentral:lncRNA from 1 species